rnacentral:tRNA from 1 species
GCAAAUGUGGCCUAGUGGAAAAAGCACUGGCUUGGGAAUCAGAGGGCCUGGGUUCUAGUCCCAGCUCUGCC